rnacentral:rRNA from 1 species
CACGUAGGGGGCAAGCGUUGUCCGGAUUUAUUGGGCGUAAAGAGCUCGUAGGCGGCUUAGUAAGUCGGGUGUGAAACCUCCAGGCUCAACCUGGAGACGCCACCCGAUACUGCUGUGGCUAGAGUCCGGUAGGGGAACACGGAAUACCCGGUGUAGCGGUGAAAUGCUUAGAUAUCGGGUGGAACACCAGUGGCGAAGGCGGUGUUCUGGGCCGGAACUGACGCUGAGGAGCGAAAGCGUGGGUAGCAAACAGG